rnacentral:rRNA from 1 species
UCCCAAACCCAAUGUGAACGUUACCAAACUGUUGCCUCGGCGGGAUCUCUGCCCCGGGUGCGUCGCAGCCCCGGACCAAGGCGCCCGCCGGAGGACCAACCAAAACUCUUAUUGUAUACCCCCUCGCGGGUUUUUUUUAUAAUCUGAGCCUUCUCGGCGCCUCUCGUAGGCGUUUCGAAAAUGAAUCAAAACUUUCAACAACGGAUCUCUUGGUUCUGGCAUCGAUGAAGAACGCAGCGAAAUGCGAUAAGUAAUGUGAAUUGCAGAAUUCAGUGAAUCAUCGAAUCUUUGAACGCACAUUGCGCCCGCCAGUAUUCUGGCGGGCAUGCCUGUCCGAGCGUCAUUUCAACCCUCGAACCCCUCCGGGGGGUCGGCGUUGGGGAUCGGCCCUCCCUUAGCGGGUGGCCGUCUCCGAAAUACAGUGGCGGUCUCGCCGCAGCCUCUCCUGCGCAGUAGUUUGCACACUCGCAUCGGGAGCGCGGCGCGUCCACAGCCGUUAAACACCCAACUUCUGAAAUGUUGACCUCGGAUCAGGUAGGAAUACCCGCUGAACUUAAGCAUAUCAA